AGAACGCCUCGGUGAAUUAAUAGAUCGCAGCACGACAAAUGAGAUGCGGCAGCUCAGAUCACAAGACUCAGACGAGACUUUGAAAGCGGAUUUAAUUUCGCUCGCGUUUUUACUUUGGGAAGCGGAAAAAAACCAACCACUGACAGUGCAGGUAUGAAUGAGCCCAGUCAAAGUGUCUGAACGCACAGUUGGGUGGGGAAGGCGAUGAAAGCUCUCGUGUUAUUACUACGACGUGUCAGUGCCGGGAAACCGAAGCGGAGAGCGGACGUGUCAGAAUAUGAGAUCGGUGUUUCAUUAGCGAAGGGAGAGGUCGAUGUGGACGGGACGAGGAAGCCCAAAACCGAUGACUGGGUGGCGGUCUGGCUGGGCCGCUGUGGGUGUUUACGGACUCAGAGCCCAGAAAUGCUGAAUGUCAUGGAAAGUAGGAGGUCGCUGAGCAGACGCCGCAUACUGAUCCGAGAAAGUGCAGCGCGCCAGCUAAAACACAGCCCCCCUUGUGGCGAUGACCCUUCAGCACCACGAUCGCCCUGACAAGCGUCAACCCGCGGUCGCGCCACUCGUGCUACUUUGUUGCCUUGUUGCACGUAAGCACCAUGUGACCAGGACAGCUGGCACAGGCCAAAUCAAAGGCCGCCUUCUCCUCUCCGGCAGCAGGAGGGCACCACCUCCUCCGCCCCCCCCACCCCCCACGAAGCCAAAUCCGCAGCCUCUCUGCCUAUCUCCUAUACGCCAUGGAGGCGUCCCGUCUGCCAAGCGAGCAUCCGAGGCAAAACUCUCCUUCCCCCCGCCCGCCGCAGACGGCCGGGGGAAGUGCGCGAGUGUGUAUGCGUGUGUGUGUGUGUGUGUGUGUGUGUGUGUGUGUGUGUGUGCGUGCGUGCGUGCUGGAGCAGGAAACGCGCAGCACAAUGUAAAGACGGGGAGGGGCAGGAAGGAAGGAAAUCCUGUUGAAAAAUGGCCUCUGAGACAAAAGCAAGUGCAAGCAGGCGCUGUGGUGCAAUCAACCUUUUUGCAGGACUGAUUUUUUACAGCAGAAAUGGGGUGUAAAUGAACUAACAGUGAGUUUCUAGCUGCCAAGCUAAGCUAAGCUAUCCAUUCUGUGGCAUACCCUCGUAUUUACUGAGUGUGUUUUACAGUCGUCUCCUCUCCACUCGCUUGCAAGACAGUGAAUAGGUGUAUUUCCCAAAAUGUUGGGAACAAAAAGAGCCAAAUGAGUUACGGUGAAAUGCAGUCCAAACAAAAGCAGCACUGCAGGGAUGUUUCCCGUCGUAAAAAAGUGUGUUUGCAAACUCCGCUGUCAGUGAACAUUUGGGCCACACUAAAUGAUUUAGUUGUCCCUCCAGACCGGUCAAGAACAUUUGCAGCAACGAACCCUUUAGCUCCAAUCACAUUCAAUUUCCCAAUCGUGCCUCUCACUUGACAUCACAUUAUUCCACAUUUCUAGUAAUUCUACCGCCUGGCACAAUGUAGUCAAUGCAAUGCAUGUCAAUGCUAUAUAGAUGGGACAUUGCCAGAUGUAUGGUAUCAAAUAUUGAAAGCCAUGCAAACCUCAGCGGCUCCCAGAGUAGAAUUGUUAAUGUAUAAUAACAACAGUGUUUUUCAUCGAUACGGGACUCAAGGUUGAAGCACAACUCUCAGCAGGAGGAGGUUCCGCUGCCGCUGAUCUAAUCUCCAAUUUCAUCCAUCAGGCAGGUUAAAGUCAAAUGCUUCUUGAGUAUGUGGUUGCUGAACAGCUGUGUGCACACAAAGAGUCGCCUGUUGUAGCACAUCAAAUGUUACAAAGGUCACAGAAUAAAUACGCAGUUAUGACCAAACAGAGCGAGAGAGAGUGUGCGUUUACAGUUGAGAGUCAGGCAGGUCACUUCUCUAAUGGCUGUGGUGUGAAAUUGAAAUGCAAGUAAGCCACAUCGUCUGUUCGGGGGCCUCACACUGGGGACAGACAGCAGAAAAAACAGACUGGCUCAAUUCAAUUUGAAAGAGUCAAGGAAAAACAAUCUCACCUCUGACUCUGCUGCCAAUUCAUUAUUUUUUCUUUUUUGCAACCAAAUACACACAAACAGUUCAAAGUUGUGUCUAGAGGCUAAAUUUAAACAGAAAUGUAAUAUUUAAGGUUUAGGGAUUAAUGGACGCGGCCGGUGAUGAGUAAAUGCUCAUAGGGAUCAUAAGAAACCGUCACGUAGAAAGUAAAGUACGAAAAGGAUCAACACAUUAUCACAAAUAAUGGAUGAACCAUGUACAGCCGCAGCUCAACCUGGGACAAAGUGGAGAAAAACAAGCUCGGAAGAGCACCAUGAAGAGAGAUUUAAGGUGUAUGAAAGGGCAGCAGGACGAUGAGGCGAUCGAAAUGAAUAAAGAAAGUGAUUAAGGGAAAAAAAGAGCAGAAAUCAGAGUGGAAAAUAUCAGCUUGCGUGAAUAAUAAGAAUAAUUGCAGCCCGUCGUGGAGUCAGAAUAAUAAGCAACCAUAAGUGACCCGAGGCGGACUCAAAACCCUCAGCCUCAAAAGCACCCGAUCCAGACACACCAGCAUCAUGUGAGCACACAAGAUAUUUAUACUGCUCGCAGGAUCUGAACAAGGGGACUUAUACAACUGUCCUCUUCAACCCAGAAUCUCCCAGUGUGUGUGGCUUCUGCCCCACGGGAACAUGAACAAACAAGCGUUUUGUUGUGUUUAAUACAACAUGGUAAAUAUUUACAGUUUCAAUUCAUCUCAU